GCCGAAGUGGCGGAAUAGGCAGACGCGCACGACUCAAAAUCGUGUUCCUUCGGGAAUGAGGGUUCGAUUCCCUCCUUCGGCA
rnacentral:tRNA from 2 species